rnacentral:rRNA from 1 species
UAAAAGGUCCAGCCUGCCCAGUGACAAUGUUCAACGGCCGCGGUAUCCUAACCGUGCGAAGGUAGCGUAAUCACUUGUUCUUUAAAUGAGGACUAGUAUGAACGGCAUCACGAAGGUUAUACUGUCUCCUUUUUCUAAUCAGUAAAACUAAUCUUCCCGUGAAGAAGCGGGAAUCCACAUAUAAGACGAGAAGACCCUAUGGAGCUUUAAACAAAAUAACAACUACCUCUGCAAACAAAAAUUUCAGAAAACAAACCACUCAUUUUGGUAUUAUGUCUAUGAGUUUUAGGUUGGGGUGACCGCGGAGCAAAAAACAACCUCCACAUUGAACGGAAACUUACCUAAACAAAAAGCCACAACUUUAUGUAUCAGCAAACUGACAUUAAUUGACCCAAUAAUUUGAUCAACGAACCAAGUUACCCUAGGGAUAACAGCGCAAUCCAUUUCAAGAGCCCCUAUCGACAAAUGGGUUUACGACCUCGAUGUUGGAUCAGGGUCUCCAAGUGGUGCAGCCGCUACUAACGGUUCGUUUGUUCAACGAUUAAAA